CCUACGGGAGGCAGCAGUGAGGAAUAUUGGACAAUGGGCGCAAGCCUGAUCCAGCCAUGCCGCGUGCAGGAAGACGCAUCUAUGGUGUGUAAACUGCUUUUGUACGGGAAGAAACACUCCUUCGUGAAGGAGCUUGACGGUACCGUAAGAAUAAGGAUCGGCUAACUCCGUGCCAGCAGCCGCGGUAAUACGGAGGAUCCAAGCGUUAUCCGGAAUCAUUGGGUUUAAAGGGUCCGUAGGCGGUUUAAUAAGUCAGUGGUGAAAUCUGGUCGCUCAACGAUCAAACGGCCAUUGAUACUGUUAGACUUGAAUUACUAGGAAGUAACUAGAAUAUGUAGUGUAGCGGUGAAAUGCUUAGAUAUUACAUGGAAUACCAAUUGCGAAGGCAGGUUACUACUAGUGGAUUGACGCUGAUGGACGAAAGCGUGGGGAGCGAACAGGAUUAGAUACCCUGGUAGUCCACGCCGUAAACGAUGGAUACUAGCUGUUGGGCGCAAGUUCAGUGGCUAAGCGAAAGUGAUAAGUAUCCACCUGGGGAGUACGUUCGCAAGAAUGAAACUCAAAGAGUAGUACGACGNGAGAGAGCGACGACGACGACGACGGAGGAGGAGG
rnacentral:rRNA from 1 species